AUGGAAGAUACCUUUUCUUCUGAUGAUGAUAGCUCUGUUUCUGUUGGAGAUGCUCUGCUUCUGCUACCUGUCGCUGCACCUACCACCCAACAAUCUGAAGCACACGAUUCAGUCACAGUUUCUGUCAGUCUGCAUAACCAGGGCAUACAAUUCGGCCUGUCUGCACAAGGCUCUGAACUGAUCAACCUCCUCCUGUCGGAUCCGAUACCCAGGCAGCAACUCAACACCUUCAUCUUCCAUGCCCUACGCCCAACAAUCGCCACAAUUGGACCUUGGAGCAAUGGUUACGGUAUGCAAUCCCCCAACUUGGAGGUUUCUGUCUUGGUCUCUGCUGUUGACAAUGGCAUCACUCUUGCUCAGCUGCCUCUCCCUCCAGCUUCUUCAGUAGUGCUAGAAGAAAUCUUUAACAAUCAUCAGCAGUUAUCUUUGCCAAGCAGCAAAAUUCUCCUGAGCCUGCUCCAACCGAAGCUACAUCUCUGCUAG
rnacentral:rRNA from 1 species